rnacentral:rRNA from 1 species
UACGUAGGUGGCAAGCGUUGUCCGGAUUUACUGGGUGUAAAGGGCGCGUAGGCGGGUUUGCAAGUCAGAUGUGAAAUACCGGGGCUCAACCUCGGAACUGCAUCGGAAACUGUAGAUCUUGAGUACUGGAGAGGAAAGUGGAAUUCCUAGUGUAGCGGUGAAAUGCGUAGAUAUUAGGAGGAACACCGGUGGCGAAGGCGGCUUUCUGGACAGUAACUGACGCUGAGGCGCGAAAGCGUGGGGAGCAAAC